UACGUAGGGUGCAAGCGUUAAUCGGAAUUACUGGGCGUAAAGCGUGCGCAGGCGGUUAUGUAAGACAGUUGUGAAAUCCCCGGGCUCAACCUGGGAACUGCAUCUGUGACUGCAUAGCUAGAGUACGGUAGAGGGGGAUGGAAUUCCGCGUGUAGCAGUGAAAUGCGUAGAUAUCUGGAGGAACACCGGUGGCGAAGGCGGCAUCCUGGACCAACACUGACGCUGAGGAGCGAAAGCCAGGGGAGCAAACGGG
rnacentral:rRNA from 1 species